CGUCACUCUGGAUUGCUCAAUGGAAAAGCUUUGGAGAAGAGGAGAAGAAUUGAGAGGUGAAAUAAUCAAAAAAGCUGGCAGAAACAAUAAUUGAUGCUUGAAAGUGUUUUUUUUGUAUCGUUCUUGGUCUUGACAAGUAAGGUCAAGGCCUUUCCAAGUAUAAAACAUAUGCAAGAUCACCCUACUGAAACAGCCAAGAACUUUACGAUUGAUGGGCAUUGCGGUUCUGUUUCUUUCCUCUGUUUUCGGUUGUGUUUGAGACUUCAAAUACACAAUGGGUUUCAGGCUCAAUUCUCCCAAGUGAGGCCAGUUGCAAUGCCGCCAUUUGUUGGUUCCUGCAUGCCAAUGUAUCCCCGGGUGGUCCUAGUAUUGGACAACAAAUGUUCUCUGGUCAGGCCCCUCCUAACAUGAUUCCUCCCCAAGUAAUUCAUCAUGUUUGCUCUACUUUAAGUAGCUGUGUGCAAUUUUGCACAAAGAUAUUUGGUUUAUGGGACUUUGAAGUAAUGUAGUGGUCACAGCUCACCAUAUAUGUAGCUACUCCUCCAUAAACUAAUGAAGAUCUUUGAUGCUGCGGGGAAUUCAUUUGAGUGCA